rnacentral:lncRNA from 1 species
GCUCCUGCUUCUUUCAAACUGUUCCUGCAGAAAGCUUUCCUUCUUUCUUUUACAGCAUGUAUGCUACCUUGAGGAGUAAUGCUGAACAUAACACUGAAGUAUGCUGUGUGUUCUGUUAACAGUGGAUUGAUUUAUUUUCCAUGAAUAAGUACAAGGAGUCCUUACAAGAUUUCUGGUGUUGUUGUACUCAUGAACGAAUGAACACGAGAAGAAAGGAAAAAAUUUGGAUGAAAACCACCUCACUUGAUGAUCAGUAAAUGAACUGCAAUUGCGACUCCAGUUUUCAUACCUGCCCAGUUGCUGUGCCCAGACCUUGCUUGGUGAUUGCUGCUGGUGCCUCGCCCUUGCUGCUGUCUGCAGACCUAAUCCUGACUCUUACCUUCUGGUACAACAUCUUGGCUCAGCACUGACCUGCCUCAUCUGAUGUCAGAAGGCCUGGACCACGCUUGAGGCUGGCCACCAUCGCUGGAUCCAUGCUGCUCACCUUGCCAGGUAUUGCAGAACUGUGUGGCUGGCAGUGAGGCUGCUGCCAAGUCUGUUGGCUGCUUCCCCAGCUGGGAGCUCAGCCUGCCCCUGGGGCUUCCUGAGCACACCUCUGCAUGCUGCAUCUGCCCAACUCCCACCACCUGCACUGAGCUGGCUCAAAUGGAAGCAUACACUGAAAUCUAAUCA